GUGGGGAAUCUUCCGCAAUGGACGAAAGUCUGACGGAGCAACGCCGCGUGAGUGAUGAAGGUCUUCGGAUUGUAAAGCUCUGUUAAUCGGGACGAAAGAGCCUAGUGUGAAUAAUGCUAGGAAGUGACGGUACCGGAAUAGAAAGCCACGGCUAACUACGUGCCAGCAGCCGCGGUAAUACGUAGGUGGCAAGCGUUGUCCGGAAUUAUUGGGCGUAAAGCGCGCGCAGGCGGAUCUGCCAGUCUGUCUUAAAAGUUCGGGGCUUAACCCCGUGAUGGGAUGGAAACUACAGAUCUAGAGUAUCGGAGAGGAAAGUGGAAGUCCUAGUGUAGCGGUGAAAUGCGUAGAUAUUAGGAAGAACACCAGUGGCGAAGGCGACUUUCUGGACGAAAACUGACGCUGAGGCGCGAAAGCCAGGGGAGCGAACGGGAUUAGAUACCCCAGUAGUCC
rnacentral:rRNA from 1 species